rnacentral:rRNA from 1 species
AGAGUUUGAUCCUGGCUCAGAAUAAACGCUGGCGGCGUGCCUAACACAUGCAAGUCGAACGAGAAAGCCCGAUUUCGGUUGGGCGAGUAAAGUGGCGCACGGGUGAGUAACGCGUAGGUAACCUGCCCCUGUGUUCGGGAUAACAGUGCGAAAGCGCUGCUAAUACCGGAUAUGGCCAAGUGUCGGUGGAUGCUUGGUCAAAGUCGGCCUCUCGAAGAAGCCGGCGCGCGGGGAUGGGCCUGCGUCCUAUCAGCUAGUUGGCAGGGUAAUGGCCUACCAAGGCGUCGACGGGUAGCUGGUCUGAGAGGAUGAUCAGCCACACUGGCACUGAAACACGGGCCAGACUCCUACGGGAGGCAGCAGUGAGGAAUUUUGCGCAAUGGCCGCAAGGCUGACGCAGCAACGCCGCGUGGGUGAAGAAGGCCUUCGGGUCGUAAAGCCCUGUCAGGUGGGAAGAAUGUUUCGGGGAGUAAUAUGCCCCGGGAGUGACGGUACCACCAGAGGAAGCACCGGCUAACUCCGUGCCAGCAGCCGCGGUAAUACGGAGGGUGCAAGCGUUAUUCGGAAUUACUGGGCGUAAAGCGCGUGCAGGCGGGUAGGCAAGUCUGAUGUGAAAGCCCCGGGCUCAACCUGGGAAGUGCAUUGGAAACUGCCUAUCUUGAGUGCUGGAGAGGAAGGGGGAAUUCCCGGUGUAGAGGUGAAAUUCGGAGAGAUCGGGAGGAAUACCAGUGGCGAAGGCGCCCUUCUGGACGGCAACUGACGCUGAGACGCGAAAGCGUGGGGAGCAAACAGGAAUAGAUACCCUGGUAGUCCACGCUGUAAACGAUGAGCACAAGUGUAGCGGGUACUCAUUCCUGCUGUGCCGCAGCUACGCGUUAAGUGCUCCGCCUGGGGAAUACGGUCCCAGACUAAAAUCCAAGGAAUUGACGG